GGGAACUUUUCCGCCGCUGCUUUUAACUCCGGUGGAUAAAUCAAGUUCCCGCCUUGCAUCAACUGAAUCGGAGACCGAAGUGAAUGCCGUAUAUGACUACGGAUUGGAUUUGAUUGGAUUGAUUUUUCACGGAUCCAUUCUUUAAUUGGUCUAUCUACGGCAGAUUUGCAUUUCUGAAAGGGAAAGAGGUGUAUUUCGUCCUUUGCUUUGCUUGUUGCUAUCCCGCGAAAUCAGAGUUUAAAAAGGCAUCUUUGGUGAAAAUCCAAGUGGUAAUUCCAUGAUUCUUGUUUGUUUCAAUGUUCACAUGGUCAGUGGGAAAAUGGUGAGUCUUAUUUUGCACAUCUCUUCUUUGAUCAAUGGUGUUCACAACUGUCGUCUGUUGACAUUUAAUGCUUAGUGUUUCACAUUAUAAAUGAUGAGUGUUCUUAGCCAUUGGUUUCUCAUUGCACAUGUGUUUUUAGACUAUAUUUUGCUGUUAGCAUAGCUGCAAUAGUUGUUGGAUUAGUCAUUAUGUUUUUGUUUUUUGUUAGUUCAGUUAAGUUUUAACAUAGCAGUGACCAUCAGUUUGAAGAGGCCUCUUCUAUGGGUAUGGAUUUGAGGAAGAGAAUCUUUUAAGAAAUGUGCAUUAUUUUCGGUGAUUAAAGGCCAUUUUCUUUUCCCUUCUCAGCAGCUCAUACAAGGUGUAUAUGUAGCCAAUUGAGAAAGGUUGCAUAAUAUGUCACUCAGCUAACACAAUUUUGUUUCAUUCUUGUGUGAAUAUUGUGGCCCUUUGUGUUGGUUGCUCACAUGGUAGAUGUCUACAUCUGAUAUUGAGCAUUCUAAAUCAGAGUUUCAUGCCAUCUUUUGGUGGUAAUUGUACAUUUGGUUUUUUGCUAGUACUUGCUUGUGUUGUUAUUGUCCUUGGAUCCUUUCUACCAUCUCCCAUUAUAUGUUUUAUGUUUUUUGAAUGGAAUGGAAAUGCAAUGUGAUGGAUUAUUUGUAUGUAAAUGUAAAUACAUGAAUGUUUGACAUUUUUUUUUCUUUUUCCUAAAUACAUGAAUUUUGCGAUUUUCUGAUUUUUCCUCAACAAAAAUUUGAUCAGAUGAUUAGAGUUGUUUUGUGGAUUGCUCUAGUUUAGCUUUGUUAUCAAUUUUAUUCUAUUAACUUUGUUGCUUCCUCUUGAAUGAAUUACAAACUUUAUGAAAUAUUAUGCAUUAUUUGUGAUUUUUAUCUUUCAAAUUUCAUAUGGUUUUGUAGUUUUAUGAUUCAUUGUAGCAGAAUUACAAUUUGUGGAUACGGCUAUCUCACAUGAUUUGAUUUGAACACGGCUCAAACUGAAAAUUCAUCUCGCUAUUGAAGAUACAUGUGAUGUGUUGAUGUGUUAUGACUUACAAUUAUUCCAUCCGAGAAAACAAGAUAAACUCAAAGUUCGAGAAAAAACUAGAAAAUCUCAAAACGUGUGUAAUUAUUGACAUUACCUUGUUCUAUUAAAAACGAUGUUGUUUUAACUUAUUGUCCGACAAUGUCGAUGAACACCGUAGAUUCAACUAUGGAAAAACAAAAAUUCAUGUAUUUAGUUUAAAAAAUCGGGCAAAAACGAGACAAAUAUUUAGUAAAAAUCAUUACUUUUUGUGGGUGUUGAGUUUCCGUUUGCACGUGCCAUCCGUUCAGUCAAGCUCUCGUCUUGCAAAUUUUCAACCAAAAAGAGAUCGGAAAGCUGCGAGAGUUGAAGAUUUGAAGGCUGCUCUAUUGAUCAACUAUGUUCCCACAGGACCUUCUCGCCUAGUAUCCACCAUGUAAGCAUUUGAUGGCAUUGUUUGGUUUAAAAGACAAGAUUUGAUCGGACUAGUUUUCUGUGUAUAAAAUGAUCAAUAGCCUAUUUGUAAUCUUUGGUGAAAUGAUUUAUUUGCUUGACUGUCACAUUAGUUUUUAUGUAAUAUUCUUCUUCGGUUUUUUGCAGUUUCAGUUUAGAAUUAAGUUUUGAUGUUUCUAAACUAGGGUCUUGAAGAUUAGAAAAAAAUUACACUUUGAAUGAUACUACAGGGUUGUCGUAUAGCUGAGCGCACGCUUUAGUUGUUACGCGCUCACGGAUAUUGGAUCAAUGGUGGAUAUAGAGUGUAUGGAGUAUGGACCGUGCUAUUAAUUAUCUCUGUUUGGUUUAGGCAUGCAUGACUAUAUCCAUACCUUAGCAUACAUGCAUGCAACGCAUAAGUAGUUGAUGAUUCAAAUAAGCCAUGCUAGAUCAAUAAAUGGUGCAUGCUACAUCUUAACUACUAAGCUGAGGUGGCGGUGACGUGGACAAGGCGCGAGCAUGUGAGAGUAAAGCUGAGGUGGCGUGAGCAGGCGAUGGCACGUGAAGAAUGGAGCUGACGUGGAGAAGAAGCGCGAAGAGUGUGAAGGAGCAGAGUAUAAAAGGAAGCUCGGCCAUUCAUGUUGCGGUUGUUGAUGUUAUGUUGUGAUUGUAGCUGUGCUUAGAUCGUGGAUCUAGGCCAUCCUCUCUAUAUUUUCCUACGCUUUGUUGUUGUUUUCAUUCGGAUUACGAUCUAUACAAUUCCUCUUCUUGUGAUCAUUAAUAGUGUUGCAUAUUCUCGUUUGAUUCAUUGAAGUGUUGGUGGAUUUGUGUGUUACGAGCUAAGAUUGGGAAGUCACGUAGUAAGAUCGUAGCACAUGGUUUUGUAUUUCUUGCAGUGCAGAGCAAGAAGGCAUAAAAGCAGAUCCGAUUGAAAUCAGUCGGUUUAUUGGUUUUGUCAAGAGAAACAAACUUCAGACGGAAACCUUCUUCAUCCUUGGCAUAUCUUGUCACCUCGACUCACGAGAGCUGGUUCUGCGCGAGAUGCUUGAACUCUUCGAAGCAUGGAAGUGGAGGCGCUAUAGUGAUGCAGACAUUAACCAAAGAUUUUAGUCAUUGAAUAGACAUUUAUGCAAUUUCAGACUGAUUAAUGUGUCCUCCGUAUGAUCUACAUCUCAGAUAUGAUGGCUCGAUUGGAGCAGCGUCGCGUGCAAUGGUGGCCGUGGGCCCGUGGAUCAAAUUGCAGAGCAACUAGAUUUCAUUGAAGGAUCUUUUGUGGAAUAGAACAUCUUGUAGUAUGAAACAAUUUGGUUGUCAUAUAAAAUUAUGGUAUCUUAUUUAUGAGGUAAAAUCUUUAGCAGAUUGAAACACAUUCCUGAUUUGUUGAUAUUUAU